GGAGAGGUGGCAGAGCGGUUUAAUGCGCCGGUCUUGAAAACCGGAGUGGCCUCACGGUUACCGUGGGUUCGAAUCCCACCCUCUCCGCCA
rnacentral:tRNA from 1 species